rnacentral:rRNA from 1 species
AGGAAUAUUGGUCAAUGGACGAGAGUCUGAACCAGCCAAGUAGCGUGAAGGAUGAAGGUCCUACGGAUUGUAAACUUCUUUUAUAAGGGAAUAAACCCUCCCACGUGUGGGAGCUUGUAUGUACCUUAUGAAUAAGCAUCGGCUAACUCCGUGCCAGCAGCCGCGGUAAUACGGAGGAUGCGAGCGUUAUCCGGAUUUAUUGGGUUUAAAGGGAGCGCAGACGGGUCGUUAAGUCAGCUGUGAAAGUUUGGGGCUCAACCUUAAAAUUGCAGUUGAUACUGGCGUCCUUGAGUGCGGUUGAGGUGUGCGGAAUUCGUGGUGUAGCGGUGAAAUGCUUAGAUAUCACGAAGAACUCCGAUUGCGAAGGCAGCGCACUAAUCCGUAACUGACGUUCAUGCUCGAAAGUGUGGGUAUCAAACAGGAUUAGAUACCCUGGUAGUCCACACGGUAAACGAUGGAUACUCGCUGUUGGCGAUAUACUGUCAGCGGCCAAGCGAAAGCAUUAAGUAUCCCACCUGGGGAGUACGCCGGCAACGGUGAAACUCAAAGGAAUUGACGGGGGCCCGCACAAGCGGAGGAACAUGUGGUUUAAUUCGAUGAUACGCGAGGAACCUUACCCGGGCUUGAAUUGCAGGAGAACGAUCCAGAGAUGGUGAGGCCCUUCGGGGCUCCUGUGAAGGUGCUGCAUGGUUGUCGUCAGCUCGUGCCGUGAGGUGUCGGCUUAAGUGCCAUAACGAGCGCAACCCUCGUGGUCAGUUACUAACAGGUUAAGCUGAGGACUCUGGCCAGACUGCCAUCGUAAGAUGUGAGGAAGGUGGGGAUGACGUCAAAUCAGCACGGCCCUUACGUCCGGGGCUACACACGUGUUACAAUGGGCGGUACAGAAGGCAGCUACCUGGCGACAGGAUGCCAAUCCCGAAAGCCGCUCUCAGUUCGGACUGGAGUCUGCAACCCGACUCCACGAAGCUGGAUUCGCUAGUAAUCGCGCAUCAGCCACGGCGCGGUGAAUACGUUCCCG